rnacentral:rRNA from 1 species
CCCUUAGAUGUUCUGGGCUGCACGCGCGCUACACUGAUGCACUCAACGAGUUUACGACCUUGCCCGAUAGGGUUGGGUAAUCUUUUUAAAAUGCAUCGUGAUGGGGAUAGAUUAUUGCAAUUAUUAAUCUUCAACGAGGAAUUCCUAGUAAGCGCGAGUCACCAGCUCGUGCUGAUUACGUCCCUGUCCUUUGUACACACCGCCCGUCGCUCCUACCGAUUGAGUGCUCAGGUGAAUAAUUCGGACUGCAGCAAUGUUUGGAUCCCGAACGUUGCAGCGGAAAGUUUAGUGAACCUUAUCACUUAGAGGAAGGAGAAGUCGUAACA